rnacentral:lncRNA from 1 species
UUAACACAACCAAAAUUCCUGGCAGCUCUACACAUCAAAUGCAUUUGUCUCAAGCAGUAGCCACCUCCAGUCUGAUACAAAGGAUUACUCCCUCCCCAGUGCCAGCUGGAGCCCCAUCAUGGUGAGGCUCUACAAUGAGUUCAUGGAGAAGACUGUGGAUGGGUCAUGGACAAGACUUCCAGGUUGUUGGUGCUCUGUGCAAUUCCUUAAAGAAGCAGACCUUACUAAGAUUGCUAAAGCUGUCCCUGCCAUCUUCUUACAAAUGAAGUGACGCAGAUGCAAGGUGCUGCAAGGCCCACCUCCUCCUGCUCUGACAGGCAGACAGGAAACCAAAG